UGCGGAUAGCUAGAUUUUUUUUGGGUCUGCUUCUGGAGGUUGCUAGUGGUCGACUUCUUCGCGCCGUUAAUGGCGGCACGCGUUCCUCCGAUCUCCCGAAGCUCUCUGGUGAAGUUCCUCCUCCUCCUCCCCCUCCUCCUGUAGAAAUUGUCCGGAGGGAUCGCUCUGCUGGAGGAUCAUCGGUCGGGCGGGGAGGAGAAUCGGCGCCCGGCAUUCAUCGGAUUCACACGGCUGCCGGCGUUAGGGUCGAAACCAGAGGCCAUUUCAGCGCUGUAGAGAGAGAGUAGGCGUCGGCUUUUGAACGAUGGAAUGCAGAGCGGAUUCCGGAAACGCGCUCCAUUUCCGGCAAAUCAAAGGUUUUCCCUCCUCUUCCUCUCUCUCUCUCUCUCUCUCUCUCUCUCUCUCUCUCUCUAGAUCAGCGGAAGUUUUCACGCUUCCCUGCGUGUUUUACCUACUCAAUCGAAAGUCAUCUGCUCAUUGAUUCAUGAAAAAGUUUGCUGCCUCGCGUCAUGCACCAUAUGAGAACAAGAAAAUUUCAAAACGUUCCGUACUUCCACCUUGAGACGCUAGAUCGGAGCAAGAAUAAGAGGGAGGCGGAAAAGGAAGUUCAUUACGAACGUCUUUCACUUUUGCCGUGCGGAACCCCAAGAUGAUCAGUCCCCCCUUUAUUUCCCCAUCCGGGAUUAAGAUGUGGACCAAGUUGACAUCGAAAACUCAUUUCACAGGAGCAGUUCAAGGCUUCCGAAGAAGGAUAUACAGCACUACAGAGGGGUAGCAACAAUCCCCAAAUAGCAAACAUGAAAUUUUGAGGAUUCGUUUGAAGCUCAUCAGUAGGUACAUUAUGCAAAAAAAAAUUGUCUCAGAGGAGUGGAUGGAUGAAGCUAUUUGAUGAAACUUGUGUGCUGCAUGUGUGAUCGGUGGCCCUUUCUUUGUGUAUCAUUUCAAGAAGAUUUGCUUCCAUCAUCUCUGCUUCCGCUUGCUAUGUUUCAAGGGAAGACAACAGCCUGAUGUCGGCGACCCCAGUAACUGCAGUUCUUCCAGACGGCUAGAACAUGGCACCUGACAGAAUUAGAUCGAGUUUAGCCGAUUAAGAUGCCAGAAAUGAACCCCAGUGUUUCAGGUCCCUA
rnacentral:lncRNA from 1 species